rnacentral:lncRNA from 1 species
GAAAAUGCUAGAGACCCCAAAAAAUUGUCCCAAAUAAUUUUCCCAAAUGAUGUGUCCAAAUCUGAUUGGCUGAAUUCACUCCCAUAAUAAUGAGACCUCCCUGCAGAUUCAUCAAUCACCCAAUCAUAACUAGCCACUUGUUUGCCACAUCAUUUUGGUAAAGAUUUUUGGGAAUUUUUUUGGGGGUCUCUAGCAUUGCCC